GUCCGCUCUGUCCCCCAACCCCGGACCAGGACGCUUUAGCACAAAGAGGACAGAAACGCUGCAGAAGGAGAUGAUGAGGACAUUACCGGCUGUGAUGAUGUAAUCCAGGAUGAGGUAGACCUGUUUGCUGCUCAGGAACACCACGGCGGCCCAGCCCACACACAGCACCCAGACACAGCUGAUGCUGAGGGUUCUGAUCCGAGCUCCAGCUGUCUGCUUCAGCUCCAGGUAGCUGAUGGGCCUCAGAACGGCCAGGUAGCGCUCCACACACAUAAGGAGGUGAAGCACCGCCUGGCCGGCGCUGCUGACAGUCCAGAUGUAAAGCCCCACCCACAUCAUCAGACCGUGAUACACGUAGCCACCACAGAAGAAGAUGAUGAAACCCAGAAACGAGUCGAUGGACAUGAUGAUGGAGUGAUGGAGGAAGAGGUCAGCGUUGUGGAGCGACGAGCUCUGCCUCCUCCACAGGUGGACUCCUAAACAGAGGACAAGGAUGAACAGUGGGAUGAGGAGGAGGAGGAUGGUGAGGGAGGAGGCGAUGAAGACAGUGAUGCUCAGUGUAGUCCUGAAGCAGUCGUCCAUGACGUCAUGGAUGGAGGAGUUGGAGGAGAAGUGCGGGGGAAGGAGAGAGGAGAAGGACGAGGAGGAGUCGAACAUGAUGGAAGUUGGAGGUCCUGGUGAGGAAGAAGAGCACGGUGAGGAAGAGGUCAAGAGAAGACAAGAAGAACUCUUAAAUUAAGAACUCUUUUAGAAUCAGAAGAACUAUUAAAUAAAUAAUUAAAUCACGUCUGUUAGUCCAAAUAAUGAUGUGAAGCAAUGUUCAAUCAAUCUGUGAAAUGAAAAUAUUACUUACUUGAUAUUAUAAUCCUAUGACAGAAUAUAAUAAGUAAUAUAACUUUAAAUAUUUGCACUAGACAUACUGCUCCACAUAAUGUUAAGUCACAUGACACAUUUCUUUUGUCUCAUCCAAUCAGAGCUUUCGUUCUGACGCGUGGCGUGGCUUUGUGUGUGUUUACACCAUCCCCUUUUGUAGUCAAAUCCUGAUUCGACCAUAAAUCAAAACAUCUGGAUUGUAAAACAAACUCCCACGUCACCCUUAACUCAGUUCAACGUUCUAGUUUCGAGCCGGCCACUCGUCACUUUUUAACAACAAGAACCAUGACAAGCUGGAUAACUUAACCUGUUGCGAGCUGCAUCCGAACGCAACGUCCUUCAGAAUAAGAGCUGAACUCACCGACCCGGCUGGGUCCCUGUUGAUGCUGUAAACCACCUGCCGCUUACCUGGAGGCAUUCCAAAGACUAGUCUGUCGUACCGAAUGCUGUUUCAUCGGUUUCGGUACCUAAAGGGGGUUCCGAGGUCCUGGCAUUCUGGAUCUACCACGGAGGUCUCCGCAAGGGUAUGUAGACAACAAGAUGGCGUCUGAAUGUGUUUUUGAAACUACAAAUGUAGUUUAGAGCAACCCAUUCGCUCCCACACAGAACUAACUCUUCUCCGAAAACGAGAGUUCUGAUAACCACAUUCCACAUCACACCACCAUCUUGCUUCAUUCACACCUAGAUCCAUCCAUCACACAGAGUGUUUAGAGUUAGUUAGCCUUUUUUAAUUUGUUUAGAAAUAAAUCUUCUUAAACUUUUAAACUUGGUCUUUAUCUCUCUUUGACUCUUGGUUAUUACGAAGUGUUACCUAAUCCCUGCAAUGAAACGUUCCGAUCUUCUGAUUAAAGGUAGUAUGGAGCUCCGGACGUCACGUGACUCUCAGAGAGUAGACGCCAUGUUGGCAGGCAACAAAUGUAAACAAAUUGAACGGGAUCGGCUUGGAUUUUACUUCGUCGGAGUUUACUUCACACUUUAAAACUGAAGAAAUCAUUUUAUAUAGUCAGAAAUUAAAUAGACUAAACAUCUCCGACCCUUACCGUGCUCCUGGGAUACUUUUUAAAAAUACCAGAAGCUGUCGGAGCGGACUUCUUACCGGACCUGGCCAGGGAACGCCUUGGGAUUCCACUGGAGGAGCUGGCCCAAGUGGCUGGGGAGAGGGAAGUCUGGGCCUCUUGACUUAGGCUACUGCCCCCGCGACCCGACUCCGGAUAAGCGGAUGAAAAUGGAUGGAUGGACAAAUAACAGAUUUACAUGUAAGUAGUUUAAAUAGAGUGCUGUGCUGUUUGAAUGUAUAAACUGAACGCCAAGAGAAAUCACUAGUUUGAUUUUUUCCGUGAAUAAAAUAAAUAUGUCAGGCAGGAGCGUCUCAGGAUCUGUCUGAGAACUGUCUCGGUGAGACAGAUAAUAGGAAUCCAAAGUGCUUUUUAUGUGUGAUCUGACAAUUGAUCAACCGUUGCUUAAAAAUGAAAUACAGCUUAGCCGGUUAAUUGCUGUGAUCAUAAGACACGUAAACGGCAGCACGCAGAACUCACGAGGCAACGUUUUACGUGAUGUUUACUUGUUGCUAUGAGUAAUAAGACAGAAAAAGCCACGCCAAAAUAAGUUUAGGAAGCCCACUAAGAAUCGUAAUAAAAGCAUUUAAAAUAAACACCAUACACAGUUGAGGAAACAUUGGUUUAAGUACCUGAUAUGAAGCGGUCGCUGCAUAAGUGAAAACCUUUACUCUCGGGGUCCCACAGCUUCAUUUUAGCCCGGUCACUAGCGCGUUUUAUUACAAUGAUCCAACGUUUGCGGCGCUCCGGAUCUUGGGGAAUCCUGUAGAUGGCUCAUUCCUUAUGUCGUCCGUGUCUGUGUCUGCAUGCCAAUAUGGGGCCGUUUCAAUUUGAACUGUUGCAUGCCGGGAGAAGUGACGUCGACUACCAGAGCUCUAUUCAAAGAUACAUCAAACUGAUUCCAUAUUUUUCAAUGGAAUCUCACCUUUGAUGGUUUCCUACGUGAGAUGUAACUAUUGAAUCAUUACAAUCGUGUCAGAAAACCUUUUAUUAACAUCACACCAUUAGGUGUGGAUCAAGUAAGAAAGGUGCGCUAUUACUCUUUGUAGCAUUACGGCGUUGGCUAAAUUAGCCCAAACUGCUGUCAUUUUAACCCAAUAGUAUGCAUGAGUGAGAAAGCCCCACCCUUCUUAGACUGUGGCUCUCAGGUCGACCCUUCAGUAGAAAUGUGGUUUAACGAUGGGGCUGACCCUGUAAAGCUGGCCUCAACUGACGUGUUAUUGGGGUUCGAAACUAUCACAGUUAGAGUUUCAUGACUUUCCAACACACCAUCGGAUUGUUUAACUCCUUUUGUUUUGUUCCAGCCUGCAGUGUCCCGUCUGUUUACUUAUUUGUGUAAUUGUUAGGUGGGCUGUAACCAUGGUAACCCUGAUAAGCCACAGACGGCAGGUUUUUAAUCAACAUUUCUGUUUGUCUUAGGUUUCAUCAAACAUAGAUUUUUGAGCCUACUUUUGUCAGUUAGUCAUGUAAAAAUACAGGAAAUGUGUCUAAAAAUCAGAGGUUGUUUUAUAUUCAUGUUACAUUUGGGCCAUUUUACUAAAAAGAAAUGGACGCUGUUUUGUGUUUCGGUAACUUUCUUUGUGUUUUCCACAGUUUUGUGCCCAAGUCUGAGUCUAACAUGGAAGUUUGUUGCCGUGACACUCAUCUAUCUGAUUUAAUCUGGCAUAAAUCAGGCUGUUGUGGGUUCUGUCCUGGAGGAUAAUCUGUAAUAAAUCUGAUAGUCUAGAAACGUGGGAACCGUGCAUGCUGCAGCCACCUGCUUCACGAAAGAUCGUCUCAUUAAUAAAAGUGAGUGUGGUUAAAUUAUGAGUUUGUUUUGCAAACAUGCAAAAACCCCCGAUCCUCGAUGGGUUUUACGUCCUACUGGACACCAUCAGACAGGCGCGGGGCUGAGGAGAGACAUCUGGGACCAAACGGCUGAUCAGGUGCGGUGAUUUUAACAUCUGAACUCAGUUCUUUAGAUUAGAAAGGAAACAUGUUCUUUAGAUGUUUUUAAAGUUAAAAGCAGCAGGUGUGUGGGUGAGGGGGCGUGGCUCAGACCUUCAUGGGUUUUAGUUCCUUGUAGAGCUGCAGCAGCUCCUCUGGUUCUGCAGGUAGAACCCUGCUGCUGCUCCAGGUAGGGUUAGGGGUGAGGUGGUCAUGUGACGGGGGCACGAGGUUUAGGUUUACUGGAAGACAUCGAAAUAUGAAGAAAUGUAAGGAAACGAUCCAUCUGGAGUUUGUGACAAGUAUGCAAAGGAACAGGGGUCUCAUUUAUCAAACAUAGCGUAGAAUCCUUACUAAAACCGUACUUAAGCUCAGCAAAAAAGUACUUACGCCAAGUAGGUUUGUGAUCUAUCAAACAUGGAGUACGCAGAGCUGCAAUCAAUCUCCGCUUCAUAAAUCAGAGACUAACGAGAAAGGCUCUCAGCUGCUUUUUAAUCACAUCCCGCCCUCGCCACGCCCACUUACUGCCAUAAAUAGUCAUUGCAAAGUGCCCUGUGGAUCUCAUGCAUAUACAUAAGCCGGCUGUUGCAGCGCUCCGCCUAUGGUGACGGCGACCGUAGAUCACGGCAGAUCAUGGAAGAAGUAGAGGUUCUUGUAGGUGAGGUGGAGAAAUGAAAGGAAGUGCUUUUGAAAAACGAAUAAGAGAAAAUCCACGGAGUGGCACAGCGUUGCUGAAGCCGUCAAGAAGGAGAAAAUAUCAUUUCUGUAGCGCCUCUCAAGAUACAAAUCACGAGGCGCUUUCUGUGGCGGAUAUAAAAAAAGAUCCAAACAGGAGUCGAGUCCCAGACUCUCGGGUGAAAGUCUCGCACGCUAACCAGUCAGCCAAUCAGGCAUCACUGU
ensembl:lncRNA